rnacentral:rRNA from 1 species
CGGACGGGUGAGUAACGCGUGAGAAUCAAACUUCAGGACGGGGACAACAGUUGGAAACGACUGCUAAUACCCGAUGUGCCGCGAGGUGAAACCUAAUUGGCCUGAAGAAGAGCUCGCGUCUGAUUAGCUAGUUGGUGGGGUAAAGGCCUACCAAGGCGACGAUCAGUAGCUGGUCUGAGAGGAUGAGCAGCCACACUGGGACUGAGACACGGCCCAGACUCCUACGGGAGGCAGCAGUGGGGAAUUUUCCGCAAUGGGCGAAAGCCUGACGGAGCAACGCCGCGUGAGGGAGGAAGGUCUUUGGAUUGUAAACCUCUUUUCUCAAGGAAGAAGUUCUGACGGUACUUGAGGAAUCAGCCUCGGCUAACUCCGUGCCAGCAGCCGUGGUAAUACGGGGGAGGCAAGCGUUAUCCGGAAUUAUUGGGCGUAAAGCGUCCGCAGGUGGUCAGCCAAGUCUGCUGUCAAGUCAGGUUGCUUAACGACCUAAAGGCGGUGGAAACUGGCAGACUAGAGAGCAGUAGGGGUAGCAGGAAUUCCCAGUGUAGCGGUGAAAUGCGUAGAGAUUGGGAAGAACAUCGGUGGCGAAAGCGUGCUACUGGGCUGUAUCUGACACUCAGGGACGAAAGCUAGGGGA